rnacentral:rRNA from 1 species
GGAGUUAGCCGGUGCUUCUUCUGCGAGUAACGUCACAGAUGUAAGGUAUUAACUUACACCCUUUCCUCCUCGCUGAAAGUGCUUUACAACCCGAAGGCCUUCUUCACACACGCGGCAUGGCUGCAUCAGGGUUUCCCCCAUUGUGCAAUAUUCCCCACUGCUGCCUCCCGUAGGAGUCUGGGCCGUGUCUCAGUCCCAGUGUGGCUGAUCAUACUCUCAGACCAGCUAGGGAUCGUCGCCUAGGUGAGCCUUUACCUCACCUACUAGCUAAUCCCACCUGGGCUUAUCCAUCAGCGCAAGGCCCGAAGGUCCCCUGCUUUCCCCCGUAGGGCGUAUGCGGUAUUAGCAGUCGUUUCCAACUGUUAUCCCCCACAAAUGGGCAAAUUCCCAGGCAUUACUCACCCGUCCGCCGCUCGUCAUCUUCAAAAGCAAGCUUUUAGAAAUGUUACCGCUCGACUUGCAUGUGUUAGGCCUGCCGCCAGCGUUCAAUCUGAGCCAGAAUCGAACCCUGA